GAUGAACGCUGGCGGCGUGCUUAACACAUGCAAGUCGAACGGGAAUUACUUUAUUGAAACUUCGGUCGAUUUAAUUUAAUUCUAGUGGCGGACGGGUGAGUAACGCGUGGGUAACCUGCCUUAUACAGGGGGAUAACAGUCAGAAAUGGCUGCUAAUACCGCAUAAGCGCACAGAGCUGCAUGGCUCGGUGUGCAAAACUCCGGUGGUAUAAGAUGGACCCGCGUUGGAUUAGCUUGUUGGUGGGGUAACGGCCCACCAAGGCGACGAUCCAUAGCCGGCAUGAGAGGGUGAGCGGACACAUCGGGGCUGAGACGCAGCCGAGAAUCCUACGGGAGGCAGCAGUGGGGAAUAUUGCAAAACGGGGUGAGCCAUGAUGCAGCGACGCCGCGUGAAGGAAGAAGUAGCUCGGGAAGUAAACUUCGAUAAGCAGCGAAGAUAGUGACGGUACCUGACUAAGAAGCCCCGGCUAACUACGUG
rnacentral:rRNA from 1 species